CGUAACGCGACCGACGGCGGCUGAUGGAUUCUCCGUCCGCGCACAAAUAAUGAGCAGCAAUAAGACAUUACUCACCUCCGCGCUCACUUUCCUGUCGUCCCCGGAGUUACGGAUGCCGCUGCUGGACAGGAAUGUCCACCGUGACGCUGUCCGGUCCUCCGGUACGGUCUGCUCCGUAAACUGGGUGAGCAGAGAAACACGGAACUGGUCGGCUCGGAUCUGCCCCAGUCCGCCCAGCAGAGAGGCAGGCAGGCAGCAGAGAGCAGCGGUGGGCGGGGAACCACCAGGCGAGCAGGCAGGGCUCGGAAACUGAAAGCAGUUGUGUAACUGAGUGGCUAUUGGCCCACAACACGCACAUGCACACACCGAGCCGCGGUGUGUAGCGAUCAACGCCGCUACUCACUUUGUUCAGUUGGCCAGACCCGAGCGAGCGAUGUGACUGCAGAGUUUAUGCGUUAGAGAAAGAAACGUCCUGAAAUCAGAUCAGACACGUGCAGGCAAUCUUCAAUAGCCAUGAUGCAGACAGGACCCAGGAUGAUGGAAACAUAUCAAAAUUUGCAGGAGAUUGUUUUGGGAAUCUCAUCCCAGAGGUGGAGGCUGUUCUUAUUAAAGUGCACCCAGACUUCAUGCAUUAGUUCCUGCCAGGACAGACCUGACAAAAUGAAAAUGACACAUGAACAGCAAAGGCUUUCCAGCCUCUUGUUACUAUAAUGAGGCAACAAUAAAACCAGCACCCCUAUUAAUGAUCAUCAUGAUUCUGGCUCCCAGAAGGCCGUGUGGCUCGCCCCACAGUUUGAGAACCAGUAACAUAUGAGUGACUGAGGUACCCGAGGUCAUCACAGUGCAUCGCUGUAAACAACGUGACGGUAAUUUCAUUU
ensembl:lncRNA